UUUCUCUGUUCGAGAUCAUACUUGUCAGUCAAAAUAGGAAAAAAACUAGUGGAAGGAGAACCAUAAAUGCACCUUAAAGCCACAAGUGAACUCCAAAAUGCCUUCAUUGAAGCUGAGGGGUGGAUUGAAACCAGACGGUAGAGAGUAGGGAUCAGGAAUAUAGCAUGCCUUGGAGAAGCUGAACAAAGGCGAGCUGGCAGCGUCACCCAACAGAGAAGAACGCUGUCUCUGCUGCUCUAGUUCGACUCGCCUCUUCUUGGCACCGCCCGUGGCCAAUCCAGCAGCCGGAGUCAAGGCAGAGCAGAGGCAACCGCCACCCUAAAACCAAGUGCUGGAAAGAAGAUAACAGCAGGAAUGCUCGUCCUAUUCCCGAAAUGAGGAGGCCCGGUGGACGCAUCGGAGACCAUGGACAGGUCCUCCUCCUCCUCCUCCUCUUCUUCAAAGGAACCACCUUUGUCACGGAUGAGAAGCUAAGGGCAGUCACCGGAGGACUGACCUAAGUAGUCGGUCCAGCCUGAUUGGCAUCCGUUGCUGCAAUCUGAGCUAACAUCUUCCUCCUCUCCUUGCAUCAAUGAAUCAAUAUAGGAGAACGAUCUUUUCAUUCUCUUCGUCGAACAAAGGAGUGCCGAAGGCCCUCGUCGACAGUCUCCGACGCCACAGCGACCGCAGCGGCAGCGACGCCAGGGCGGUCGUCGCUGGGUACCUUACGACACGCGUGGAGGAGCACAGUAACACCCUCGGAGGCGGAGGGCACCGGAAAUGAAAUAGGUCAGAGGUUUAUUGCAGUUUGUAGUUCUGAUCUCAGAUUAGGUUUCUGUUCCUGUAUUGAUAUCAUCUUGGGCAUUGGACGAGAUAGGGCCGUAGAGAUUCUCUUUUUCUCCUCACUCAAAAAUGGCGCCUUGACAGUCUUGAUUGGUUUGAUUUGUUCAAAUGGUGCGGAGAAAAUUGACUCUACCAAUUGUUGGUUGCAAGACCUAUUUUUAGUUGCUUUGUGCUGAUGAUGUUCUUCAAGUGGAUCGACGAAGAUGCUAUUUGUCAGGAACGAAGAAUUUAAUCGUGCUUGAGUAGUCUUUUUAGUGUCUGAGCUAUCUUUCUAUUAAGAAUAUAUUUCUUGUCCAGAUUAGUGUUGGCUAUGAAUUCAGCUAGAACUUUGGCAUUAUGUUGAUAGCCCAUAGCAAAGAUUUGGUGGAAUACCCCACAUUGGUGAGAGCCUCGUGUACUAUACUCUUUGAAGGCAAUGAUGACUACUUUGUCUUGCAGUCUAUCUUGGAAAUAGGCUUUCCUUUGCCAUUAGUACUCACACUAGUUUGGUCUACUUGUAACUUUGCUGGAGAAAGCAAAAUAACUCUUGAAUCUAUUUGUAGUUUCUUCAUACUCCCUGAUUAACUCAUCUCACAUUAAUGUUUAUCCAUGGAAUUGAGGAAAUUUCCUAUUGUUUAAGACACAUGGGUGGUUUGGACACAAAGAAGAAUGAAGAGUGUAAAUGGUUACAGUGAUAAAGUUCAUCACAAACUUUCUUGGUAGAGACCUUGGAAAACUCUGUCCAAGUUUUGCAUCUUAUGACCUUUGGACUAAAGAGCAGAUUUGUUUUUUUUUCUUCUUCUUUUAAGAGUAUGUAGCAGAAUGGUUGAUCUAAUUUUUCUGUUGUAGCAGGUCAUAAAGUUGCUGGCCUUCAACUUUGCAGAAAGAAAGUUUCUUCUGUUGGGUGUCUUUCAAGAAGUCCUGACUCUUCCUUUCUCUUUUAAUUUUGCCUGCAAUCAGUUCUGGGUCAUGUUUAUUGUUUCCCUUCAGCUUGCUGAUUCAAGCACCAAUAACUGUGCAGUGGAAAAAUAAACCAGAUAUUAUGUUUACUACUAAUCUGGAGUAGGAUUGGCUUGUCCAUUCUCUUAUACUACCCAACUGAUGCAUUUACAAACCAACCUUUCUCAAGAAGAAAAUUCUGUUGAUGUCGUUUACAUAAACAUGUAAUUAUACAUAUUCUUCACCUUGGCUAAGGGAGAAAACAAGGGUCAAACCGUUAAAGCAAGUACUUUGUAGAAGCCUAUGAGCACAUAAUAGCUGGCAGCUACCAUUUAUUUCUAACUGGAGAUGAAGGAUUUCCCAUUGUCAUCCCUAUAUUUACAGUCAAGUUCAUGAUUAGAGUAGUGAUCUUUUUAAAAAAUCUUAAAUGGACCUGAAAUAUUAGAUAGUGAUGGAUUUAUUGCCUCAAAUUGUGUCAUAGUCUAUCGCAAUGCAGGAACUCUUAUGAUUAUUGGAUCAGCCCAAACUUAAAGCUCAAAGCCCACGAGCACCAAUUUUAGAUUUCAGUGGGAGGGGGAUUACUUCUCAGGGGCAGCAAGAUCUAGACCUAGUUGCUGGAUGUGUCUAAGAUUCAAUUCUGUCAGACUCAAGGUUAAUCAAGGUUUGUUUUCAAAACUAUACACCUUGUUCAUAUACUCUAUAUAUUUCAAGGUAAAUAUAAUUUCUUUUUUUCCCCUCGGCAAUGUCUGUUUAAUUUGUGCAAAAAUGGAUUAUAAUUCUAUUGCAUCAGGCGAUGCUUUGUCCCCCUAUCUACUCUUGAACAGCUCAGUUAAAAAUCAUGAUUCAGUUGUGAUCUGUGAAUUGAAGCAUCUAUAAUCGAAAUGUUUUAGUAAUCAGUUUGCAUGUCUCAUCUUAUGGCAGGUUGAGUGUAUGCUCUCCUUGCUACUCACAUGGGGGCUGGAAUCAUCUUUAUUCUGUCAGAGCUAUACAACUAUAAUUCCAAGCAAAAAAAUGAUACCUUUAUUCAUGUAUUGCACAUAAAUCCAUGCUAACUAUAUUUUUUUUUCCCUACAUCUGCUGCUUCAUGCUUGAUCACAUGUUUAUGAUACACCGUAAUCAUGAAUGAAGCAAAACAAUAGCUAGGAUGGCACUAAGGACUCAAAUAUACGAGUCGGUGACGAGGGAUUAUAUGAUAAUUACUCCAACAUUUGUGGUUAAGUGCUGAUAGAGUUGACUAUUUAUUUUUCAGUAUUAGAAUGUUACAAAACUAAUGCUUCUACUCAGUUUGGUGAGGUUUCAAUUGUUGAGGCUGCAGGUUGGCACAAAGGCAUCUUUCCAAUGUGCAUGUGCAGCUAUUUCUUCUGCCAUUGGUAGGUGGAGAACCUUGUGCUGGCAACCAUUAAUUGACAUGGAGAAGGCCUUCCACAAAGAGGUCAAAGAAAGCAAUAAGUCUGCUUGCAUCUCUGCAGCUGUCAUGAUCGAGUAGAAGUCAUGCCUAACACAACAUUGUCCUAAUGCCUAGAGUCUGAGGUUGUGAGAACUCCCAUUCUCAUCCAACACCCUCCUAACUUUUUCUUGUCUUCUUGUAUGAGAUGUUCUUAUUGGCUCUUGAGAAGGUCAAUGGCUGCACCAGAAACACACCCAACUCAUGACGAAUUCAACAAACGUAUUGGAUCUUCUCUUUGCAUCUCCAUAUAUAUAUAUAUAUAUAUAUAUAUGAUUGGAGUCUGGAAACAGGAUGAGAUAGAACAGAGUGAGGAAAGAAUCACAUGAAUUCUAUGUGCCGGUCAGAAUCGAUUGUUCGAUCAAUUAUUCUCCAUCUACUGUCAUAAAGAAUGUCUACUGAUUCUGUUGCCAAUGUCAUAUCAUUUUGUAUGAUUUGACGAAAUAAUAUCAACCCCAUUUUGUUAUUCCCCAAUUGAUGACUUCUAAAAA